CACAAAAAUCCAGAUCAAAUUUCUCAAUCCAAACGUGAGGCAUUCACAAAAUGCUUUAGCCUGAACCAAUUUCUUCGCCGCUUCCUCCGUAAUUUCAUCCUCUCACAUCGAUUCCACGCUUCCGUUUUCAACCGAAGCUAUGAAUAACAUUGAACCUGGAGCCAACAUCAUUUGAAUUCUAAAUCAAAAUCCACCUUGACACAGCCAAGACUUCAAUCACGUUAAGCUCCGAGAUCCAAAUCAACAUCUAAUUCGCUUCAUUAUUGCGCACCAGAAUCGAAAGAAAUUGAAUUGAAGCGAACACCACAGCGAGUCAUGGAUCGCAAUGAGAAGGUAGAAGAAAAUUUACCGGAAUUUGAGCUCAAGCUUUGUGGCACGAAUAGGCAUUUGGACUGAGGUGCCUUGAUUUGUUGUUGAAGGCAUUAUUAAUCAAUGAGGCUUGCUAAAUUAUGCUGAAAUCCAUGGUGUUCAUGUUCCUGCUCGUGGCUUUGAUGGACUCCAAUGCUUGGAUCCAGGAUUGAGAGGCAAAGUUUUUUCAUGAAGCAAUUGGUUUAUGAUGCAUAGGUACGGGUACGGUACCCGGUGCGGGUACCGGUAAUGGUACGGGAUACGCCAUUUUAAAAAAAAUUAAGGUACGGGUACGUUAAUAAAAAAUAAGAGUUUUCUAUAAAAUGUAUGGGGAGAAAACUAAAUUGUUAGGUUCACAAUAAUACAUCACUAUAAAAGUUUAAAAAAUAAAAAAUAAUAUUAAGAUAUAGUAACGAAGAAAUGAAAAUACAUAAAUAUACUACAUUGAUAUUUGAAAAAACAAAAAAUUUCACUUGAAAUCGAAUAAUCAGAAAAGAUGAAGUACCACGAGUACGGUACGUGUACCUGGUACGGAUGCGCACCCGAUACCAGUACUUCACCAUUUUAGAAGUACCCAUGCUUCAGAGCAAUUGGUGUUAACUGAUGUACAAUGUGUAUGCUCAUAUGUUAUUGCCAUGAAUUUGAUGUGCUUGUCAUGGAUGUAUUGCUGGUUUGUGUGCUACAUGAUGCAAGGCUGCAAUUGUCAUGCUUGGAUGAACACUUUGGUCAUGGUUUGCAUAGACUCAUGGGGUGUUCUGACUUGUUCUUGGUUUUGUAGGUUUACUUGCACAAGCUAAGUUCAUGACAUGGCAUUGAAUAUCAUGUGCAAAUGGCCAAAUCAAAAUCAAGAUGGAACUGGAAAAUGGGAUUAGGAUUAGCAUUGGCAUUUAGUGGUUUAGGAUGGAAAAUCACUUUGAGUUGACUUUGGUCAAAGUUGAACAAAAAGUCAACUGUUGACCAAAGUUAAUAUUUGUUAAACAUGUAUUUUUUUUGGUAUUUUUUGUAUGUAAAGAACAAUUUAUGGUCAUGUAAUGAAUGGGAUUGAUGCAUUUAAAUGAAAAUGAAUGGAUUUGGUA